rnacentral:rRNA from 1 species
CCUACGGGGGGCAGCAGUGAGGAAUAUUGGUCAAUGGACGAGAGUCUGAACCAGCCAAGUAGCGUGAAGGAUGACUGCCCUAUGGGUUGUAAACUUCUUUUAUAUGGGAAUAAAAUGUUCCACGUGUGGGAUUUUGUAUGUACCAUAUGCAUAAGGAUCGGCUAACUCCGUGCCAGCAGCCGCGGUAAUACGGAGGAUCCGAGGGUUAUCCGGAUUUAUUGGGGUUAAAGGGAGCGUAGGUGGAUUGUUAAGUCAGUUGUGAAAUUUUGCGGCUCAACCGUAAAAUUGCAGUUGAAACUGGCAGUCUUGAGUACAGUAGAGGUGGGCGGAAUUCGUGGUGUAGCGGUGAAAUGCGUAGAUAUCACGAAGAACUCCGAUUGCGAAGGCAGCUCACUGGACUGCAACUGACACUGAGGCUCGAAAGUGUGGGUAUCAAACAGGAUUAGAUACCCCAGUAGUC